rnacentral:rRNA from 1 species
GGCCGCGUCGACGAGGAAGGGCAGUAAGCGAAUACCUUGCUGUUUUGACGUUACCGACAGAAUAAGCACCGGCUAACUCUGUGCCAGCAGCCGCGGUAAUACAGAGGGUGCAAGCGUUAAUCGGAAUUACUGGGCGUAAAGCGCGCGUAGGUGGUUCGUUAAGUUGGAUGUGAAAUCCCCGGGCUCAACCUGGGAACUGCAUCCAAAACUGGCGAGCUAGAGUAGGGCGGAGGGUGGUGGAAUUUCCUGUGUAGCGGUGAAAUGCGUAGAUAUAGGAAGGAACACCAGUGGCGAAGGCGACCACCUGGGCUCAUACUGACACUGAGGUGCGAAA